rnacentral:rRNA from 1 species
AGUUCAGAUUGCAGGCUGCAACCCGCCCUGCAUGAAGUCGGAAUUGCUAGUAAUCGCGGAUCAGCAUGCCGCGGUGAAUGCGUUCCCGGGCCUUGUACACACCGCCCGUCACACCAUGGGAGUUUGUAACGCCCAAAGUCGGUGGCCUAACCUUUAUGGAGGGAGCCGCCUAAGGCGGGACAGAUGACUGGGGUGAAGUCGUAACAAGGUAUC